rnacentral:lncRNA from 1 species
AACAUGUGAAAUUCUUCAUCAUUCGAGAGAGCCAUUUUUGCUAAAACAUCUGCAAUCCUAUUUGUCUCUCUAGGAACUUAUAUCAAGGACCACUUUUCUUCAUUAGCUAGAAUCUGUUGAAUCCUCCUUAUUAAAGUGACAUUUGGUCCUUCAAUCUUGCUAUCACUAAUAGAUACAACGAUCUCGAGAUUAUCCGGUUGGAUGAUGACCUUAU